rnacentral:rRNA from 1 species
ACAUCGGUGACAGGUGGUGCAUGGUUGUCGUCAGCUCGUGUCGUGAGAUGUUGGGUUAAGUCCCGCAACGAGCGCAACCCCUAUUGUUAGUUGCCAUCAUUCAGUUUGGGCACUCUAGCGAGACUGCCGGUAAUAAACCGGAGGAAGUGGGAUGACGUCAAAUCAUCAUGCCCCUUAUGACCUGGGCUACACACGUGCUACAAUGGUUGGUACAACGAGUUGCGAGUCGGUGACGGCGAGCUAAUCUACUUAAAGCCAAUCUCAGUUCGGAUUGUAGGCUGCAACUCGCCUACAUGAAGUCGGAAUCGCUAGUAAUCGCGGAUCAGCACGCCGCGGUGAAUACGUUCCCGGGCCUU